ensembl:lncRNA
UUUUAUUUUUGCAAAUACGUUCACUUUAUUUGUAUUUUUUACCACAAAAUAAUGAAAUAUGCAGCAUCCCUUAAUUUUUACAUUAAAAAUAGUUAUUACAAUCAAUGAUAUGAGCAUUAUAUGGAUACAAGUAUGAAGUUGCAGUGCAAAGGCUUACAAAAUCUUGAGCAAAAUCAAAUAUAUUACUUUAAAAUUCUUUACCCUAAAUUACAGAGGUGCAAAUGAUCCCUUUGGGCCUCAACCAAUAUCCACAUAAAAUUAGUUCAAACAUAUUUCAUUUAGAUCUAAUAAAACUAUUCAAAAUAAAAAAUCCACCUUGUAUAAACUCACCUUUCCAUGUUAAGACUCCUCCUUACCUGUCCACAAAUAAAAUAUAGGUGAUCAACUAAAUCCUCCGGUCUUUUUACUGACCCUUAUUCCAAUCACAGAGGAGGCUUUACCUCUUCUCUGUGUCUGGUCAGGUCUGGUCAGGUUUGGUCUGGUCAUUAUGCUGGUCAGGUCAGGUCUGGUCAGGUAUGGUCAUUAUGCUGGUCAGGUCAGGUCAGGUCUGGUCAGGUCAGGUCAGGUCUGGUCAGGUCUGGUCAGGUCAGGUCAGGUCAGGUCUGGUCAGGUCUGGUCAGGUCAGGUCUGGUCAGGUCAGGUCAGGUCUGGUCAGGUCUGGUCAGGUCAGGUCUGGUCAGGUCAGGUCUGGUCAGGUCAUGUCUAAAGUCUGGUCAGGUCUGGCCUGGUCUGGUCUGGUCAGGUCUGGUCAGGUCUGGUCAGGACAUUAUGCUGGUCAGGUCUGG